rnacentral:siRNA from 1 species
GAGGUUUCUUAUUUCAGUCUUGUG